GGGACUAUAGUCUAGUGGUUAGCACGCUUGGCUGCACUGACAAAGAGGUGUAGGACCUGGGUUCGAAUCCCAGGUGUAACA